rnacentral:rRNA from 1 species
GCAGGUGGCAAGCGUUGUCCGGAAUUAUUGGGCGUAAAGCGCGCGCAGGCGGUUCUUUAAGUCUGAUGUGAAAGCCCACGGCUCAACCGUGGAGGGUCAUUGGAAACUGGAGAACUUGAGUACAGAAGAGGAAAGCGGAAUUCCACGUGUAGCGGUGAAAUGCGUAGAGAUGUGGAGGAACACCAGUGGCGAAGGCGGCUUUCUGGUCUGUAACUGACGCUGAGGCGCGAAAGCGUGGGGAGCAAACAGGAUUAGAUACCCUGGUAGUCCACGCCGUAAACGAUGAGUGCUAAGUGUUAGGGGGGUUUCCGCCCCCCUUAGUGCUGCAGCUAACGCAUUAAGCACUCCGCCUGGAGUACGGCCGCAAGGCUG